GACGAACGCUGGCGGCGCGCUUAACACGUGCAAGUCGAACGGAAAGGCCUGCUUUCCCUUGUGGAUUGCGGGUACUCGAGUGGCGAACGGGUGAGUAACACGUGAGUGAUCUGCCCCCAACUUGGGUAUAAGCCUGGGAAACUGGGUCUAAUUCCCGAUAGGACUGCAGGGUGGUGCCUGUGGUGGAAAACGAUUUUCUAGUGGUUGGGGAUGAGCUCGCGGCCUAUCAGCUUGUUGGUGGGGUAAUGGCCUACCAAGGCGGCGACGGGUAGCCGGCCUGAGAGGGCGGGCGGCCACAUUGGGACUGAGAUACGGCCCAGACUCCUACGGGAGGCAGCAGUGGGGAAGAUUGCACGAGGGGCGGAAGACUGAGGCAGCGACGCCGCGUGAGGGAUGACGGCCUUCGGGUUGUAAACUCCUUGCGGCCGCGAGGAAGCCACCUGGUUGGAAGGGUGGUGACGGUAGUGGUAGAAGAAGCACCGGCUAACUACGUG
rnacentral:rRNA from 1 species